GCAUGCCUGUGCUGGACCUCUUGUGUCAUUGCCGUCGGUGGGGAGCCGUGUGGUGUACUUCCCUCAGGGCCACAGUGAGCAGGUCGCUGCAUCAACCAAUAAAGAAGUCGAUUCCCAUAUACCCAAUUACCCAAGCCUAGCUCCACAGUUGAUAUGCCAGCUCCAUGAUGUGACUAUGCAUGCUGAUGUAGAGACUGAUGAAGUUUAUGCCCAAAUGACAUUACAACCAUUGAGCCCGCAAGAACAGAAAGAUUCAUAUAUACCUACCGAGUUGGGUACUCCCAGCAAACAACCAACCAACUAUUUCUGU
rnacentral:misc_RNA from 1 species